rnacentral:rRNA from 1 species
GACGAACGCUGGCGGCGUGCUUAACACAUGCAAGUCGAACGAGAUCCCAUGUGUAGCAAUACACAGGAGGAUCUAGUGGCGAACGGGUGAGGAACACGUGAGAUACGUACCCCAGACUUUGGGAUAACAGUCCGAAAGGACUGCUAAUACCAAAUAACGUCGGAAGUCCGCAUGGACAUCUGACGAAAGGGAUUCCGGUUUGGGAGCGUCUCGCGGACCUAUCAGCUAGUUGGAGGGGUAACGGCCCGCCAAGGCAACGACGGGUAGCUGGUCUGAGAGGAUGGUCAGCCACACUGGGACUGAGACACGGCCUAGAAUCCUACGGGAGGCAGCAGUGGGGAAUCUUGCGCAAUGGGCGAAAGCCUGACGCAGCAACGCCGCGUGCGGGAAGAAGGCUUUCGGGCUGUAAACCGCUUUCAGUAGAAACGAAACUGACGGUACCUACAGAAGAAGGAGCGGCCAACUAUGUG